GAUUUUCUACCUGGAUCCAUAAACUUCUCCUGGAGCUACCAAAACCGAAGUGCUGUGAGUACCACAGAUUUGAAGAUCUUCCCAUCCCUUAUGAGUGGGGCACAUACACAGCCACCUCACAGGUGAUACUCCCUGCCAAUGAUGUCUUCCAAGGACAAGAUAGCUACUUGGUAUGCAAGACCCAGCAUCCCAAAGGCAACAAGGAAAUUGAAGUUCCACUUCCAGAUCCCAGCACCAGUUCCCCUAAUGUGACUGUGUAUAUUCCACCCCGUGAUGCAUUCUCCAGCUCUGGCCUAAGAACAUCUAAGCUCAUCUGUCAAGCCACCAACUUCAGGCCAAACAAGAUCAAGUUAACAUGGCUUCGAGAGGGCAGGCCACUUCGGUCAGGUGUCUCUACAGGUCAAGUCCUGCCUGAAGGCUCUGGGACUUACUUCCUGCAGAGCAGCCUGACUGUCAGUGAAAAUGACUGGCUCAGCCAAAAUACAUUCACCUGCCAGGUAGCACAUGAAAGGGCCCAAUUCCAGAAGAAUGUUUCCUCAACCUGUUUCACUGGGGAACCAGAAUCACCCAUUGAAGUCUUUGUCAUCCCCCCCUCCUUCGCAAGCAUCUUUCGUACCAAAUCAGCCACAUUAACCUGUAUGGUCACAAACCUUCCCACUCCUCAAAAUCCAAAUAUUUCCUGGACCCGGGAGAAUGGACAGCCUCUGGACACCACCAUUAAGAUGUCCCUCAGCCACCUCAAUGGCACUUUUAGUGCUGAGGGAAUAACCACAGUCUGUGCAGAAGAAUGGGAUUCCGGGGACAUAUUCAGAUGCACCGUGAUUCAUCCUAACUAUCCUGAACCCUUGAAGAAAGAAAUCUCUAAGCCAAAAGGUUCUACCAAGAAAGCACCAGUUGUCUAUCUAUUGCCUCCAACUUCUGAAGAGCUGAGCCUGAGGGAAUCAGCUACCCUAACCUGCCUGGUGAAGGACUUCUAUCCAGCAGAUGUGUUUGUCCAGUGGCAACACAAAGGACAGCCUAUACCCUCAGAGAAAUAUGUCACCAGCAGCCCCCAGCAGGAGCCCCAGAAAGACGGUCUCUACUUCUCCCACAGCACCCUGACAGUGCCUGAGAAACACUGGAAUGCGGGGGAUUCCUAUACCUGUGUGGUGGUUCAUGAAGCACUACCCUUUUCGGUGACUGAGAAGACCGUGGACAAGUCCACUGGUAAACCCACCUUCGUCAAUGUCUCCCUUGUGCUAUCUGAUGCAACCAAUGCCUGCUACUGAGAGGGUGUGGUCUUGGCCAAUCUCUUUUUACUGUCCCUACAGGUCUUACUCUCACUAUCUAGCUCAUUCGUGGGGCAGAUUCAGGGGGCUUCUGUGCCAACUGAAUUCCCCAAAGUAGUGUGUAAGAUCAUGUGACUGAAAUAAGAUACUGCAUUUUAUAAAAAUUAGAAAUAAAAAUAAUCAACUUU